rnacentral:lncRNA from 1 species
GAUAAAAAUUCUUUUGUUACUUAUGUAAGGUUACUUCAAUCUAUUUCUAAUAUAUUCCUAGAGUUAAAAUCUUUUAAUUAACUCUGUUAUCUCUGUAAAAUUACUAUUUUGCCCUUUCAAAUAUACCCUUCGACAAUCACUUUCUUUCUUAUUUGUCCUUAAAGUCAGGGGCACAAAAAGUAUUUUAACUUUUGGUCUUUUCCAAUAUAUUCCUCUACCGUCACCAACCUUUCUUAUUUGCCCUUAAGUUAAGGACAAAAUUGGCAUUUUAAUUUUUUUUAAUUGUGGUAGAUAUUUAACUCACAUUUAACCCAGGUUAACUUAACAGGAGAUAACUGCGGAGGUAUUUUGCAAUAACGAUGGAACAUAUGAGAAAUAUUUAAAAAAGAAAAAAAAGUAAAAAUAAAUCGAAUAUUUUCAAACGUAUGAGAAGUAUAUAGACAAUUAUCCCUAAUAUUUAAGUGUCGCACUGGAGGAGUACUCUCUGUCUA